AACGAACGCUGGCGGCAUGCCUAACACAUGCAAGUCGAACGAGAUCUUCGGGUCUAGUGGCGCACGGGUGCGUAACGCGUGGAAUCUGCCCUUUGGUUCGGAAUAACAGUUGGAAACGACUGCUAAUACCGGAUGAUGACGAAAGUCCAAAGAUUUAUCGCCAGAGGAUGAGCCCGCGUAGGAUUAUCUAGUUGGUGUGGUAAAGGCGCACCAAGGCGACGAUCCUUAGCUGGUCUGAGAGGAUGAUCAGCCACACUGGGACUGAGACACGGCCCAGACUCCUACGGGAGGCAGCAGUGGGGAAUAUUGGACAAUGGGCGAAAGCCUGAUCCAGCAAUGCCGCGUGAGUGAUGAAGGCCUUAGGGUUGUAAAGCUCUUUUACCCGGGAUGAUAAUGACAGUACCGGGAGAAUAAGCUCCGGCUAACUCCGUGCCAGCCGCCGCAGUAA
rnacentral:rRNA from 1 species